AUGGCAUCGUGUCUCUGUCGAUCCCUCAGAUCAACAGCGUUAGGGUUCAUGGAUGGUGUUGAUGAGGCGGCGGCGGCGACUUCAUCAGGUGUGUCUCUCCUUCUGCUCUGUCCCCGUUGCUGUGGCGUUGUCUCCGACGUCAUGGUGGAGCAGGGAGGUUUUGUCGUUCAGGAGUACGCGCAGGCAGUUGUCUACGCAAGUGACAGCUGGAAGAUGGAGUAUCUUGUGUUGGGUCUGUGGUCGAAGGCGGGCAGUUCUGGUUUCCUUCUCCGACGUCGUCGUCAUGCGAGGGUGUCAGUUCUGAAGUUCGAUGGCGUGUCCGGGGACAUGUUGCCCCGGUCUGAUUCUUUCAACGGCUAUGGUUUUGCUUUUGGCAAGCUACUUUGGAGGUCCGUAAAGCUACUGAUCAGCGAUGGAGCCGCGUCGAGCUUGGGUGAAGAGGUGAUCUGUCUUUUUACCCUUUGGUGGCUGCUUCGGUGGUGUCGAAGGAAAGUGACAGGCGCUGGUAUUUUGCAUAUGAUUUUCCUAUCUUUUCAGUCAUGUAUGGUCGGUGCUUAUGUGCCUUGUAACUUGAUAUUUAUUCUAUAUAAUGAGACACGUAUUACCAUGAAAAAUAAACCUGCAGAAAAUUUCAGGAAAAUAUGUCAAGCCACAAUAGGGAAAGCAAGGGAAAUACUGUAG
rnacentral:rRNA from 1 species